AGUAACGCGUGAGCAACCUGCCUUUCAGAGGGGGAUAACAUUUGGAAACAGAUGCUAAUACCGCAUAAGAUUACAGUACCGCAUGAUACAGUGAUCAAAGGAGCAAUCCGCUGAAAGAUGGGCUCGCGUCCGAUUAGAUAGUUGGUGAGGUAACGGCUCACCAAGUCGACGAUCGGUAGCCGGACUGAGAGGUUGAACGGCCACAUUGGGACUGAGACACGGCCCAGACUCCUACGGGAGGCAGCAGUGGGGAAUAUUGCACAAUGGGCGAAAGCCUGAUGCAGCAACGCCGCGUGAGGGAAGACGGUUUUCGGAUUGUAAACCUCUGUUUUCGGUGACGAACAAAUGACGGUAACCGAGUAGGAAGCCACGGCUAACUACGUGCCAGCAGCCGCGGUAAUACGUAGGUGGCAAGCGUUAUCCGGAAUUACUGGGUGUAAAGGGAGCGCAGGCGGGAUAGCAAGUCAGCUGUGAAAACUAUGGGCUCAACCCAUAAACUGCAGUUGAAACUGUUAUUCUUGAGUGGAGUAGAGGCAAGCGGAAUUCCGAGUGUAGCGGUGAAAUGCGUAGAUAUUCGGAGGAACACCAGUGGCGAAGGCGGCUUGCUGGGCUCUAACUGACGCUGAGGCUCGAAAGUGUGGGGAGCAAACAGGAUUAGAUACCCUGGUAGUCCACACUGUAAACGAUGAUUGCUAGGUGUGGGGGGUCUGACCCCCUCCGUGCCGGAGUUAACGCAAUAAGCAAUCCACCUGGGGAGUACGGCCGCAAGGUUGAAAC
rnacentral:rRNA from 1 species